CUUUUCUUCAUCCUCAUCCAUGCCGUUCAGGGGAAAUGCUGAUUUGUUUUGCUGGCUGAGAUUGGUGUUGCUUUUGUCUGAGCUCUUUCCAGGAAAGCUGCGCACUUGAAGGACAGAGAACACAGCAAAGUCUGUCUUUACAGGAUGGAAACCUGCGUGGGAAGCGCAGAGCUGGGGAAUGGGUGAAACCACAGCCCAGAGGGCACGUAGAGGUCUGGGGAGCAGCUGACAUGGCAUCGGGCUUUCGGUGGCCAUCUGCUACCUGCCUAUAUCACACUCCAAGCUGGCGGCACUGGGAUGGAGCCGUUGUGUUUGCCAAAGCACAGGAUGAGACUGCUGGGAUGGCUCGCCCCAUUCCUCCCUGCAGUCACUGCACACAGAUGGCUGCAGCCAGGGACAGGUGGGGGAAGCAGGAGAUCUCCUGGGCUGCUGAGGAUGUCACAAUGCCCAGAGCCCAGCUGGGAGGGCAGAGCUGGUCUUGGCAUGGGGCUCUGCAGGUACAGUGCUGGUCCUACUUGCUGCUUUGCCUUGAUGAUGGGUCAGCAUGUGUGCACUGCAGCUUUUUCCUUAGAAAUAUCUCAUGCAGGGUUCCUGUGGCAGCUGCUGUUCCCUGAGCUAGAGGUGUCCUGGCCUGCUGGUACCACCACAUUUUGUCUAGUACCACUCUGUUCUUGGAUCCUUACUGAUGGCCCCAUUGAAUUCCCUCACUUCUUGUGGUCCACCCUGGAAGCUGUACAUACCACCAUACCUCUAUUCAUGGUGUCCCUAUUCCCUGUUUCUAUUCCCUGCUCCUGUAGUAGGUAAACAAGCACCUUAGGAGAUGUAUGGUGCUUCUUUACACCAUCUCUGUUACUACAGGAGGAGCUAGCAGCUAUGGCUGUGCUACCAGCUUCAUCCUCCUGCUGUUGGGACACCUCUUGGAUGUGGUGGUGGUGGCCCAUUCUAGGAGGGCCUGGAAGCAUCUUGAUGCAAGAGGAGCAAAAAACUGGGAGUCAGUCUGACUACUUCAACUUGGUUGCCUUAGCAAAUGCCAUCAGGAACUUCUCAGCCCGGUUUGGGAGCAUCUUGAGUGCAAAACCUUAGGUGAAAUUGAAACUGCCAUCACUGUGCUUCAGCAGGUGAGCUGUCACUACUGGAACAUUUAGCUGACUUGUUCCAUCUGUGCACCACUGGUCAGAUCUUUCUCCUUGAGUGGUUGCCUCCAGCACAGCCCUGUGAAUGCAUGUCAUGCUGGAUACCCCUGCUUGUUGAAAAUAGAACAAAUGACCUCAAGAGUUUUCCUCUGAAAGUAUCUUGAGGGAGAACAAAUGAGAAGGACUCGAUUGGGCCAUCUGCUCCCCUCCCAUCCAGCUGUGUUGGGCCUGGCCCUAUGAUAAGGUUGGGUGAGAGCAAUGUGUGCCAGGAGGUUUGGCUGCUGAGAGCUGGGUUGGGGAUUUGCAAAUCCUGUUGGAUCGUGGACUGGUCUCAGGGUGUAGGAGUCGAUGAAACCUGUGGGCAGCUGCUGCCCUUCCAGCCUGCUGUCCCUGGGCAGCUUGGUCUUCUGAAGCCCACCUUGGCUGGGCUGUAGUGUGGGGCUCGGCAGACACGACCAGGACCUGGUAUCUCCAAGGCCAUUCUGAUCUCUGGGGCUGGGCAGAGUGAGCCUGGGAAGGGCCCUUGCUCCUGGCUGGGUGUUUGCCUCUGAGGAGCCAGGUGCUUUCCUGCGGACAUCCCUGCUAUUCAGCAGAUAGCUGAUGCUGAAAGAUCUUCCCUAUUCGGCAGGGCAUGAGCCCAGCAGGACUUGUAGUUUAUGUUGGAGCUGUCAAAUCCUUCUGUUUUAUAUCUGGGCGUAGUGGAUCAUGUUUCUUCCAUGACCUCAGGUGCCCUUGUGUGUUUGCUUGUUUGGGUAGGAGUUAAGGUCAAGAGAAAUGGUGGUGCUCUGCUCUCAUUUUGGGUUCAGCUUUGGUUCUGGGGCUAUUGCUGCAUGCCCAUGUGACAGAGGAUGGCCAGCUCUGGGUAAGAGCAUGUCAAACCCAGCCUGGGAGCUGGAUGCACCUGGCUAUGGUGAGGGGAAGAGUUAGCAGAGGCUGUGCUGGGUUACCUCUGCUUCUAUGGCUUUGCUGCCUUGUUUUUGGGGAAAAAAGAGGUCCUGGCAGCAGGACACAUUUAGGAGGAAUGGGAAGCUUCAUGUGCUUGCCCAUCCUGUGGUCCCGCUCUGCAUGAUGACCAGGAGCAGCUGCCACCUCAUUUUCAUGAACUCACAGAAUGACUGAGGUUGGAGGCACCUCUGGCCCCACCUGUUCUCCAGCCAUGCCACCCAGAGCAGGCUUUCCUGUGCUGUGUCCAGAAGCUUUGAAGAUCCCCAAGGAAGAGGUGCACAAACUCUCUGCGCAGCCUGCUCCAGUGCUGGGCCACCUGCAUGUUAAAGAUGGUUUCAAGGCCCCAGCUGCCUCACAGAGCUGGCACCAGCCCAUCUGCUCUGCACGCUUCUCCCCAAACACCAAACGACACAGGACACCAUGUUCUCCAGUCUUCUCUGCCCAGGGAGAAGCCCUGCUGCAGACCCCAAGGGCUGAAAAGCUGUGCCAUGCUUCUGCAAAAGGUAACAUGUCAUUGCCUCUGUCCCUGCCUUGAGAAUAGAGAAUCAUGGUGCCCUGGACUUGUUCUCAGCACCAUACACCUCUGAGCACACAGGCUGGCCUCGCGUGGGCUGGGGCUGCACUCAGCCAGCACCAGAGCUCUGCUCUGCCACUAGCAGCCAUUGCAGGAGGCCUUGGUGUCCUCACCACGUGGAGCCCCAGUCCCUGGGUUGUGCGUGCAGGGGACUGCAGGGCCCCACCGUCUGCCCCUGGGCAUGACUUGGCCGGUGCUGAGGAUCAGGUUAGGUCUUGUGUCCAGGUGCAGGCGGCCCGGUUGCUGCAAUGUGCCUGUUCCUGCUCAGAGGGGAAUGUUGCUCACCUGCCUGGGGAGGCACAGGCACUUGCAUGGUUUUGCACAGCCUGCCAAGCCUUAAUCUCCAUUGUUUGACAGCUGGCGUGCUGCUGACGUCAAUCCCAUGGCUCAGGGGGCUUUUUGGGGAGGAAUGGGCAAGUCUCCGCAUACGCGUGCUUGCAGACGUACCAGAAAAACAUAGCACCGAAACCACAGAGGGAGAGGGAGGUGAAGAAGACGACGACACGAAGAGGGGAGUGCAGCAUGAAGGCUGCUCCUGUACAGCAUGGCCCUGCCCUGCGAGCUGCUGGCUGACUCACAGCCAAGCCUGCCCUGCUGGGUGGCAUCCCUAAUGGGGUGGAGAAUGCCACUGUACAGCUCCAGCUUGCUGGGAAGUGCUGCUCGGUGUCUGCUGCCUAUGUCAAGGGUCAGUGUGUGUGUCCUGGAAGCAUCUCACCUGCCUUUCUGGUCCUUCUCCAUCUCUUCCAUCCAGCUGAGACUGCUGAUACUGGGAGCUGGAUGCUGGGUCACUGCUGUCCUCUUGUUCUCAUCUGGUGGCCCAGGGCGGAGGUGCAGCUUUGUCCCUUCCUUUAUUAGAUAUCGUUAAAGAAACUGUUCUGGCAUGGGUUGAACCAGCCCUGUACGUCACUGUCCUGCCUCAUGAGACCGUUUCAGGAUGUUGCCUAGAAGCCAUGCCCAGAUCACUGUUGGUGUUGGCCAGUGUGUGCCCAGCUCUGCUGCUUUGCUUCCACAGAACAAGCUCUGCAAGCCAUGGAAGCACCACCCCGGCCAUCCUGCAGGCUGACCCCUCUUCCAUGUGUCAAAGGAUGCGAGCGGCAUUCUGCACGCCAACGGUGCUCCAAAGAAAGCAGAGCGUCCUUCGUGCAGGAGUGGUCCAGCUCCUCUGUCCAUCUCUCAAAGCUGCACCAUUUGACUCUGGAGCUUGCAAAGGGCUCUCUGGGGACUCUCUGGCAUGGAGAUCGCUGCUUCCAGGCUGAGCCACCGGCGCUUCUUACAAACUUGUGACCUUAAAAACCACAUCCUGAUGGUAAUUGUUCUCCUGAGCUGGAAAUCCUGUCUGCUCUGCGGUGGACUUCAGCUCCCAAGUGGCUCGCGGUCUUUGGUGAACGCAGUUGAGCUUUCCCGCAAGGGAAAUGACACUCGUCCUCUGCUCGGCAGCAGCCAGCCAGGGGCUGCUCGUGUCACCAGCCAGAAGGACUCCUCUGACACCACCUGCUCCAUUCCCUGGCACAACCAUCUCUAGUGGCCUUCAAUAUUUCUCA